CUGGAACUCCUCCAGGGACAGCUUCCCAUCAUCAUUUUUGUCAGCUCUUCUAAAAAUAUCGAGGAUGACGGAGGUGCCCUUCCUCUGCGCGGAGGCUCCCGAGGUGAGCAGCUCCCUGUCGGCGACGCCCUUGUCGCUCAUCCUGGCCCCGACCCAGCGCAGCAGCCCGUCCAGCCCGCGCAGCGCCGGCGCCGGCUUCCGCAGCAGCCUGUGCACGCCGGCCCGG
rnacentral:lncRNA from 1 species